AAUAGAUACCCGGGUAGUCCACACCGUAAACGUUGGGCGCUAGGUGUGGGGCCUAUUCCAUGGGUUCCGUGCCGCAGCUAACGCAUUAAGCGCCCCGCCUGGGGAGUACGGCCGCAAGGCUAAAACUCAAAGGAAUUGACGGGGGGCCCGCACAAGCGGCGGAGCAUGCGGAUUAAUUCGAUGCAACGCGAAGAACCUUACCUGGGUUUGACAUACGCCGGAAAGCGCCAGAGAUGGUGCCCCUUUUGUCGGUGUACAGGUGGUGCAUGGCUGUCGUCAGCUCGUGUCGUGAGAUGUUGGGUUAAGUCCCGCAACGAGCGCAACCCUCGUCCUAUGUUGCCAGCACGUUAUGGUGGGGACUCAUAGGAGACUGCCGGGGUCAACUCGGAGGAAGGUGGGGAUGACGUCAAGUCAUCAUGCCCCUUAUGUCCAGGGCUUCACGCAUGCUACAAUGGCCGGUACAAAGGGCUGCGAUGCUGCAAGGCGGAGCGAAUCCCAAAAAGCCGGUCUCAGUUCGGAUUGGGGUCUGCAACUCGA
rnacentral:rRNA from 1 species